rnacentral:tRNA from 1 species
UAGUCCAUGGAGGAAUAGUGGUUAGACCACAGUGCUCUCACCACUGUGGCCCGGGUUCGAUUCCUGGUUAAAUAA